rnacentral:lncRNA from 1 species
CAGUUGCUCCUUCAUUCUGUUUUAGCUUUCAAAGAAAAGAUCUACUGCCUGAGAGCUCCUCACUUAUGGAAGAAAACAAGACCCAGCAAAAUGGAGAGCAGCAACACCCAACAAAGACUGUGAAGCACCAUGUGUGUAGUUGCCACUGGAACAGCAGCUUCGUAGGAGAUCCAGAUGAAAGUAAGGCUACAGGCUGCCCUGCAUUCUCCACAAGUCCACAUAAAGUUUUUGCCCAUGUGGAGAAGAAAAGGCAUUUCUUGUGUUCUGCGCAAGUGAACCUUUCCAAGGAGUUCUUUUUCAUGGAAAAUGGACACCUGGCUCAGAGUAAAGGACAUGCAGUGCACAGUCCCUAGCAGAAGCUGAAAAUGGAUGAUGUCUACUGAUGCUUUUCAAUGAUGUCAUCUCCUCUUUUUCUGUUUGAGAUGGGUGAUAGGAAAAUGUUCUAAGACUGAGUGACCUCUUCAUCCCUUGACUUCUCUUUCCACAAG